GAUGAAGAACGCAGCGAAAUGCGAUAAGUAAUGUGAAUUGCAGAUUUCAGUGAAUCAUCGAAUCUUUGAACGCACCUUGCGCCUUGUGGUAACACAAGGCAUGCCCGUUUGAGUAUCAUUAAAUCAUCAACUCUAAAAACUUUGUGUUUUUUUGAGCUUGGUCUUGAGGGUUUUUUGCAGGCGUUAUAGUCUGCUCCCUUUAAAUGCAUUAGCGAGACUUACCUGUGCUGAACCGUCUCUUUGACGUGAUAAUUAUCUACGUUGAAUUUGGUUCUCGUUGGGCUUGCUUCUAACCGUCCAUGAUUUUGGACAAACUGGGGAUUUGGGUGCAUAUAUGCGCCCUUUUCUCCAAACCUUUUUUGAUCUCAAAUCGGGUAGGACUACCCGCUGAACUUAAGCAUAUCAAUAAGCGGAGGA
rnacentral:misc_RNA from 1 species